UUCAUAAGCAAGCUAGACGUCAUGGAGUCAAAACAAAAUAUUUUAUCUAUUGGAACGGAGACUGAAGAACCAUUGGGAAAAUCAUCAAUAUUAAAAGUUUAUAAACGUAAUUUCUACUUUAAAUUUACAAAACGUAUCCAAAAACUGCUUUUGGGUGGAUCUCCUCCUCUGAAAGAAAUACCCGAUGAAGGCUCAGUGGAAAGAUUUUGCGCAGCAAGCAUUCGGAAAAAUGGGACACAAUAUUACGAGUUUAGGCCAGACGACUAUUCAAAGGGAAUUGUUUUAUCUGGCCCAGCAUUUGAUACCAAAGGGCUUAUAUUAAUUGUCAAGGAGAUGAUCAGCAAAGAACACUGGAUAAAUGAAAGUGUAAUUAAGUACCAUAACAAUUCAACUGCUGAAAUACAAGAACUAGUUUGGGACGCUAUAGUAAAGGAGGACCAAAGAAUAUAUAAUUACCUGCGAUAUUUGCAAGAAAAUCAUUAAAAAAUUCCAGCUAACAUUAUAUCCAUUUUAUACAGAGAGAAAGUUGAGUAAGAAGUGAAGUAUCAAGUCCACCCUAACUUGAAAACCUUCGUGAUUUGCCAUUCACAAAAGUUUAUAAACAAAAAGGCACCAUCACUAAUUGUGUGCUUUUAUGUGAGCUUUGGCUGGAAAUAUUUCAUUAGUAAAUAAAUAAAGGAGAGCACCAGUUGAUUUUACAAUUCAAUCAAACCCAACAUGGCGUCAAAAUCUAAAGUUUUGACUAUAGGAACAGAUACCAGUGAAAUCGAACCUAAAGUACAGAUCCCAAAGAAGAGCAUAUACUUUCUUAAAGACGAUUUUAAAGAUCACUUGCAAAAAAUUCUUUUAAAUGGAGCUAAUCCUAUAGAGCCCGAGCCUAAUCAAUGCGCUAUCGAAAGAAUAGCUGCAAAUGAAGUUAAAAAGAAAGGGCAAUACUAUUACGAGUUUGCACCGGAGAUUAGAACGGGUAGUUGGAUUAUGAACGGACCUACCUUUGAACCCAAGGGAGUUCUAAGACGAAUUAAGGAUCGAAUAAGCAAGGACCACUGGACUACUGAUAACGUGGCCAAGUAUAGCAAAGAUUCCAGAUUAUUUAUACACCAAACCCUUGGCGCUGCGCUUCGUGAAGAACAUUUUGAAAUUUAUCAAUAUAUAUGUUAUCUGAUGGAAAAUCCUAAUAAAAAAUGAUAUAGUAAUGUUUUUUAAAUAUACAAAA